GGGGCUGUUCUGAGCUGCAGGCUCGCUGCAGCCCCGUGGCAUAGCCUUGCAUCUGGUGACGGACUGAAGCUGGAGAAUCCUGGCAGCAGAGGACGCUCCUGCCCCACAGAAGGGCUCACAGCUCCACCGCAGCUCCACCGACCUCAGUGCUGGUGAGGAGGCUGAGAUGCCUCCAAGUGAUGAAUGCAGUCCACCCAACCUUACACCUCGUGUGGUUCACUGUGCGAGGCGACCAGGAAGAAAGGUGGGCACAGGAUAUUUUACAGGUUCUGACUCAGGUUCCGAGAUUUUAAGUUUACCGUCUGGAAUUAAAGCCUUCUUCAACUGCCUGUUCUGCCACCUGAUCCGCCAUCUUAUCUCCAGUUUCCCGUACAGUGCUACCUUUCUGAUGUCCUUUACAGAGUAUAAUAGCCAUGCUCUUUGGUAGGCGUACAUCAUACUGAAUGUUUUCCUUGUGUGUGAGCAAUCCUUGCUCUUUCCAGAUGGCACUAUGAGCGUGUUCCACCCCAAAAGCAUGUUUAGCAUCUGACCAUGUAUUUAAGGCUCUUGUCAAGGCAGUUAUUGCAGCCUUCUGAGCCAAGUCCCCACAGGCAAUGGUUGUUCGAUUACCUGGUCAGUAGCAGUUACUGCAUAUCCUGCCUUACGGUUGCCUUGUCUCACAACACUGCUUCUGUCGGAUGAACCCAGGAAUCCUCAGCACUGUCCAAUGGUUCCUCCUGUAGGUCUGGCCGACUGGCACAGUCAGUCUCCAAGCAGUCGCACGCUGCCGGUUUGGAGGUAGCUCUGUGUUGGUGUUAGAAGCAUGGAAUGGCCUGGGUUGAGAAGGACCUCAAAGAUCGUCCAGUUCCAACCCCCUGCUAUGUGCAGGGUCACCAACCGACGGACCAGGCUGCCCAGAGCCUUGUCUUGAAGAAGAUUGUUUUUAGGAGAACAAAAACUUUGGAUCACCUUUCAAAUACAGAGAAAAAAAUAACGCUGUAUUAUUUUUUUGUUUUAUUUUCCUGUUGUUAUGAUCAGGUAAAGAGACAGACAUAUCACAUCUCAGAAAUGGCUUUACUUCAGUGGCCUUAAAUGGUCCCUCUGUGAUCAUUAUUUUCUUAUUGAAUCGCUGUCAGACACAGCUGGUGGAUUUUGGACGUGCAGUUUGGAGUUCCUGGCUAAAAUGAACCACAUGAAUACGGAUUACGGAUAUUCUUAUCUCAGCACGCUUUUGAGAUGGAGCAUUCAAAUUACAAGACCUUCAGUCUGCUGUUUUAAUCUGACCCAGAAGGAAAACUUCACUACAGUUCGUUUCCUUGAUUCCCGUGCAAUUUUAUUUUGGAACUGAAGCUCAAUCGAUUUAAACAACUUUUUUGAAAGUCUGUAAUGAAAGUUGCAUUUUUGCUUACACGUAGCCGCUUUGACCCACGGUGAAUGGAAGUCAUAAAGCAGGGUAUAAAGGGAGUUUCUAAAUUGCCUGUUGUUGAGGCCAUUGAAGGCAACAGGAGAGUCCAGAAUGUGACCUUUGAGAGCAAAUUUGCCUCUGCUUCUUACUGAAUUUUGUGUUGCGUUUUUCUGUAUAUAUAUUUUUUUGACUCAGAAAUACAAAUUAUAAUGAAGGUGAGGCACUUCACAAUACAUUUGGCUUCAGCAUUGCUGAAUAUACAUUUGUAUAUGUAUAUAUAUAUGUAUAUAUAUUAUAUAUAUAUGUAUGUAUAUGUAUAUGCAUUGUACAGCAAAACAUUUCAGAAUCUGCAGAACGUUGCUAAUAACUGCAGUGGAACAGGGAGGAAUAGUGAAAACAGAUUUCUGCUUUGAAUGCUUUCAAAUUUAAUAAUUAAUGCAUUUUAUUUUUACUUGUAUAGGAUUAUCAUGAACUCUAGAUAGGUAGUUACAUUUGAAAAUGCUAAGUGAGAUAGCAAAACUGAAUCAUAAACACAGGAAACAGAUUCUGCACUCAUUUGCUUGCAUUUCUGUCCUGCUGGCAUGCUCUUUGUACUUUCUACCAUUUCAGAAUCACAGGAGCUAAAAUAGUCUGAAAAAGAAGAGUCCAAAUCCUUGCCUUUGGAAGGCCCAGCUCGUUACCCAACUCCUGAGCAAAGAAAAAGAAUAAAGGCUUCAGUCACCACACAUACUCACACUGGGAGACUUCAGCCUCAGCGUGACUGUCAGCCCUGUGGACACGCUGGCUGUCACUGUGCCCACCGUCUGCCACAACAUCACCUGCAGCCUCUGUGGAACUUCAAUGGCCGUCUCCACACCGACCGCCUCAUCCAGAGCAGCACUGCCACGGGUCACCGCCUCAGUCCCGGUCCCAGGUGUCCCCUGUGCCGGCAAUCCCCCAGCAGUGAGUGAGUGGGCAGUGGACACAACCUGGGCUUCUCGCCGGGCCCUGCACGGGUGGUGGCAGUGUUCCAGGGGCACCGCCUCCGGCCCCACCCAUCCCUCUCCAAAAACGAGCUGAUGCUGUUCUCCUGGUUUGAGCGGCGCUGUGUACGGACUGUGCGACUGCCCGAGGGGAACCUUCCAACCUACUGCCUGAACUGAACUGAACUGAACUUCGGUGUCACGAGCGCGGCUGCAGAUAUGCAGUAACCGGACUGAAACUGCAACUAUCGGAAGACCCACAUGCAGAACAAACCGUACAGUGCACAGAUUCAGUGCACUCAUCACUGCAGUGAUGAAGGAACUCGGCAACGGGGCCGCUGUUGUGUUUUGGUAACAGUGAGGAGGCACCAGCAACGAGCUGUGGAUUGGCUGCCCCCCCUGCGCUGCACUGUGCAUUCACGCGCUGGCCACGCGUAGAGUGCGUGAUCCGGCUCAGGGCAUACAGACAUGUCAGGAGGGCAGCAGGGUGAGGUAACUCAGGCAGAGGACACCGCUGCCUCCAUGGGGAUGCCCGCAAGCCCUGAGCCAACCAGUCCCUCCCCUUACAGCCAAUCCGAGCUGUGCUGGCUGAUGGUCCUUUUGGGACCUCUUGGCGGAUCGGUAGCUGUGCACUGCAGUGCUUAAACGCUCGCUUUGGCCGAC